UACCGGGUAGUGUAACGGUAGCACAGCAGGUUUUGGUCCUGCUCGUCUAGGUUCGAAUCCUAGCCCGGUAA
rnacentral:tRNA from 1 species